AUGCGGCCCCUGCUCUGAGCGCUGGCCGGGCUGGCCCAGCUCUGCGCCGCAGGCGCUUUGGCCGCUGCAGAACCCUUCACCACUCCCCGAGGAGACUCAGCUCAGAGCACAGCGUGUGACAGACACGUGGCUAUGCAAUGCCGUCUAGAUGUCAUAGGGGAGAUGGUAGAGAAGACCGUGGAUCACCUGGGGACACAGGUGAAAGGCCUGCUGGGCCUGCUAGAGGAGCUGGCCUGGAACCUGACGGGGGGACCCUUCAGCACCGUCCCCGGCCUCCUCGGAAAAGAUGGCUUCUGAGCCCCGGAGCUGGAGCCCAGCAGCUGGAGGUGGUGCACCUGCCAGGCAGCACCCUCUGAGAGCCAGCGCUGUCCUCUCGCCUUCCUUCCUCAUCUUCGUGUGAAAUAAAAGCUACUGUUUUUGGUCUCCUCUGUGUCUGCUGACAGAGUAACCCGUUUACAGCCCCCUCUCCCUCCACUUCCAUGCCUGGUGGAGGCCGGCAACCCCCUCCAGGCUCA